GUACAAGAGGGGAUUGGGGAGGGCAUUUGCCCCCUAGCUUGUAUGUUAAAAAAGGCCCUGUCCUACGCCUACGGGAUACGGAAAUGUUUGGUCUUUGGCAAUAGUUGCGAUUAGCUAAAUGUCAGCACCAGCAGUGAUUGAAUAUUUCUGAUAGUUGUCUUGUUAUUUGUUCACUUUAAAGUAUAAUUCAUUUCAAGACCAGAUAUGGUUGAGGCUACGUCACUUGGCAUUGCAACUAUAUGAAGUUGGACGAUGAUUUUUAAGAAUACAUUUCAAAACAUGCUCAACUGGUAUUUGCUACGGUAGAAUACGUUAAACAAUCGUGGUUCACGAGCCUUUUAAAGGUUAGGUCUGUUUCAUACGUCGCACUAUCGUCGAAUUUAAUUCAGACGAAUUUAAUUGAACGAAUUAAGUUUUAUCCGUUAUGUAACCUGAAUAUCGAUCGUGACUAAAACACCACACGAGUACAUACGAGUAACAUACGAGUAACACAAAGGUACAUACGAGUACAUACGAGGAACACACGAGUACAUACGAGUAACAUACGAGUACAUACGAGUAACAUACGAGUAACAUACGAGUACAUACGAGUAACACACGAGUACAUACGAGUAAAACACAAGUACAUACGAGUAGAAUACGAGUAAAAUACGACUAGUAAACUUGUUUUUAGUGUUUGUAGAUUGAAUACAGGCAAAAAGAUCGUCUUCUCUGUCGAAAAACGUGAAAUAGACUGAAACCGGCUAUCUUUAAAACCCGGAACGGGGAAUGGGGGAACGGGGAAUGGAGAAACGGGGAAUGGGAGAACGGGAAGUGGAGGAACGGGGAACAGAGGGAAUGGUGGGGCGAGGGGGAAAGGGAGAAAAUAGGAGACAAGGGGCGGGGGAGGUCUGCCAGAUUCUAUAAACCACAACUUUGUAGUUUGUACAACAUCUACUUUUAGGUAUUCUACCUAGAUAGUUAGAUACAUGACACAAACCAUAGGCUUCACAUAUUUCACAGCAUGGUUUGCUUUCAAAACCCUGUGAGCAUGCACAAAACCUAACUCACGAACUGCAUCUACUUAAAAUAGUACUAGGUGAUAAACUUACAAUCCUCACAUAGCCUCAAUCACAACAUGUGGCUAGGCAAAUAUACGAACUACACAGUUAACGUAUACCGCGACAUACGACAGUUCCGAGACCGAAAUACAGGACAACAAGGCCUUUUUUAAGGAUUUUCCCGUGGGGGGUAUAGCAAUGGCCGACGGCCACGGUGUGUGGCCGACAUACUCCCCCAGAAAAUGUUUUAAAUUUGAACCUUUCAAUUACCAUUUCCUGCUUUAUGAGCGUCUAAAAUUGCUCUAAAAUUUAUGCUAAUUAUACUUGUAUUUGAAAUAAAAGAAGGAAAAAAUGCAGAAAAAAUAAAAGAAACCUUAACAAUAAUUUGUCCAUUACUUAUUAUUAAAGGGGGAUAGCAAUGGCCGUGGGUCACGUGUGUGGCCGACAUACCGCGAAUGAAUAGGGGGGUCUGGAGGCAUUAACUCCCCCAGAUAAUUUUUGAAAUUUUAAGCCCAAAAAUGCCAUUUUCUGCCGUCUGAGCAUCUAAAUUUUCUAGAAUUUAUCCUAACUAUACUUCUAUUUGAAAUAAAAGAAGGAAAAACACACAAAGAAUUUUAAAAAUAUUAACAAUAAUUUAUCAUUACUUAGUGUUAGAAACACGUAGGAUGCGCACGCGGUGACACAGUCCUUUAAAUCGAUUUUGUUAAAGAAGGACAAAGGAUAAAGCCUAAAACGUACGUUCCGUUUAUCAAUUUGUUAUUCUUCGCUGGUUUGUUUGUAUAAAUUUAGGAAAAAGGGAC
rnacentral:lncRNA from 1 species